rnacentral:rRNA from 1 species
UACGUAGGUGACCAGCGUUGUCCGGAUUUACUGGGCGUAAAGAGCGCGCAGGCGGUCGUUCAAGUCGAGUGUGAAAGCCCCCCGGCUCAACUGGGGAGGGUCAUUCGAUACUGAUCGACUUGAAGGCAGGAGAGGGAAGUGGAAUUCCCGGUGUAGUGGUGAAAUGCGUAGAUAUCGGGAGGAACACCAGUGGCGAAGGCGACUUCCUGGCCUGUUCUUGACGCUGAGGCGCGAAAGCUAGGGGGAGCAAACGGGG